GAUGAAGAACGCAGUGAAAUGCGAUACGUAAUGUGAAUUGCAGAAUUCAGUGAAUCAUCGAAUCUUUGAACGCACAUUGCGCCCAUCAGUAUUCUGUUGGGCAUGCCUGUCCGAGCGUCAUUUCAACCCUCAGGGCCCGUUCGCGGGAACUGGUGUUGGGGAUCGGCCUCCCCCCGGAGGCCGGCCCCGAAAUGCAGUGGCGGCUCUACCGCGAUCUCCUCUGUGUAGUAGCGAUACCUCGCAGCUGGAUAGUGGUGGUGCCACGCCGUAAAAUCCCAACUUUACCAAGGUUGACCUCGGAUCAGGUAGGAAUACCCGCUGAACUUAAGCAUAUCAAUAAGCGGAGGA
rnacentral:misc_RNA from 1 species